rnacentral:rRNA from 1 species
UNUGACUUGAGUGCAGAAGGGGAGAGUGGAAUUCCAUGUGUAGCGGUGAAAUGCGUAGAUAUAUGGAGGAACACCAGUGGCGAAAGCGGCUCUCUGGUCUGUCACUGACGCUGAGGCUCGAAAGCGUGGGUAGCGAACAGGAUUAGAUACCCUGGUAGUNCACGCCGUAAACGAUGAGUGCUAGGUGUUAGGCCCUUUCCGGGGCUUAGUGCCGGAGCUAACGCAAUAAGCACUCCGCCUGGGGAGUACGACCGCAAGGUUGAAACUCAAAGGAAUUGACGGGGGCCCGCACAAGCGGUGGAGCAUGUGGUUUAAUUCGAAGCAACGCGAAGAACCUUACCAGGUCUUGACAUCCCGAUGCUAUUCUUAGAGAUAGGAAGUUACUUCGGUACAUCGGAGACAGGUGGUGCAUGGUUGUCGUCAGCUCGUGUCGUGAGAUGUUGGGUUAAGUCCCGCAACGAGCGCAACCCUUAUUGUUAGUUGCCAUCAUUAAGUCGGGCACUCUAGCGAGACUGCCGGUAAUAAACCGGAGGAAGGUGGGGAUGACGUCAAAUCAUCAUGCCCCUUAUGACCUGGGCUACACACGUGCUACAAUGGUCGGUACAACGAGUUGCGAGCCGGUGACGGCAAGCUAAUCUCUGAAAGCCGAUCUCAGUUCGGAUUGGAGGCUGCAACUCGCCUCCAUGAAGUCGGAAUCGCUAGUAAUCGCGGAUCAGCACGCCGCGGUGAAUACGUUCCCGGGCCUUGUACACACCGCCCGUCACACCACGAGAGUUUGUAACACC